rnacentral:rRNA from 2 species
GCUGACGCUUCCGGGGCGUGUAAUACAUGCAUGUCGAGCGGACUUGUUGGAGCUUGCUUCUCUGACGUUAGCGGCGGACGGGUGAGUAACAUGUGGACGACCUGCCUGUUAGACUGGGAUAUCUUCGGGAAACCGGGGCUAAUACCGGGUAGGAUCUUCUUCUUCGUGUGAGAUGAUUGAAAGAUGGGUUCGGCUAUCACUUACAGAUGGGCCCGCGCGGCCUUAGCUAGUUGGUGAGGUAACGGCUCCCAAGGCACCGAUGCAUAGCCGACCUGAGAGGGUGAUCGGCCCCACUGGGACUGAGACACGGCCCAGACUCCUAAGGGGGGGAGCGGUGGGGAAUCUUCCGCAAUGGACGAAAGUCUGACGGAGCAACGCCGCGUGAGUGAUGAAGGUUUUCGGGUCGUAAAACUCUGUUGUUAGAGAAGAACAAGUACAAGAGAAACUGCUUGUACAUUGACGGUACCUAACAAGAAAGCCCGGGUAAUACGUGCCAGCGGCGCGGUAAUACGUAGGUGGCAAGCGUAUCGGAAUAUUGGGCGUAAAGCGCGCGCAGGCGGUUUCUUAAGUCUGAUGUGUAAAACCAGGCUAACCGUGGAG